rnacentral:rRNA from 1 species
UAGGGAAUCUUCGGCAAUGGACGAAAGUCUGACCGAGCAACGCCGCGUGAGUGAAGAAGGUUUUCGGAUCGUAAAACUCUGUUGUUAAAGAAGAACACGUAUGAGAGUAACUGUUCAUACGUUGACGGUAUUUAACCAGAAAGUCACGGCUAACUACGUGCCAA